rnacentral:lncRNA from 1 species
UUUUAUUUCUCCUUUUCUUAUUUUUCUUUUUAUGUCUGUUAUACCUUAGGAAGGCACCUGAACUCUAGUAAACAUCAGGGUGCAUCUGUCCCUACUUAUUUUCCAAUGGAGGAACUCUGAGUCUCAGUGAUCAUUUCUAGAUCCAGCUUCUCUGCAGGUUUAACCCAGCUUCAACACUGGCUGUGUAUCUCCAGUCCACUGUAAA